GCUCCGGUGGCCUAGUGGUUAGAGCGUCUGCCUCAGAUGCGGGAGGUCGUGGGGGUCAAUCCCUGGUCGAUUCA